rnacentral:rRNA from 1 species
CAGCUAGCUCAAUUACCCAAUAACUAAACAAUAUAAAUAAAACAAAAUAAGCCUAACACCAAAAAUUAAAUCAUUCUUUUACCUUAGUAUGGGCGACAGAAAAGGUUACACCUGGAGCAAUAGAAAAAGUACCGCAAGGGAAAGCUGAAAGAGAAAUGAAAUAACUUAUAUAAGCACCAAAAAGCAAAGAUUAAAUCUUGUACCUUUCGCAUCAUGAUUUAGCCAGUAUAUCCAAGCAAAGAGACCUUUAGUUUGAAACCCCGAAACCAAGUGAGCUACCCCGAGACAGCCUAUUAAGGGCCAACCCGUCUCUGUGGCAAAAGAGUGGGAAGAGCUCCGGGUAGAGGUGACAGACCUACCGAACUUGGUGAUAGCUGGUUGCCUAAGAAGUGAAUAGAAGUUCAGCCUCGUACUCCCUGAAUCAAAAGAUAUAAAAAGAUAUUAGAGGGAAAUAUAUGAGAGUUAGUUAAAGGGGGUACAGCCCCUUUAACAAAGGACACAACCUUCCCAGGAGGAUAAAGAUCAUAAUACAUAAGACAUCCUGUUCUAGUGGGCCUAAAGGCAGCCAUCUAAACAGAAAGCGUUAAAGCUCAGACAGAAAUAAGUUUAUUAUUCCGACAAGAAAUCUUACUCCCCUAAAUAUUAUUAGGCCAGCCCAUGCCCACAUGGGAGAGACUAUGCUAAAAUGAGUAACAAGAAGGCCAGCCCUUCUCCAAGCACAAGUGUAAGCCAAACCGGACCGACCAUUGGCAAUUAACGAACUCAACCCGAGAGAGUAAUGUGUAUUACAACGAAACCAGGAAGAACCCACAAUUAACCCAUCGUUACCCCCACACUGGCGUGCUAUUAAAGGAAAGACUAAAAGAAGGGAAAGGAACUCGGCAAACACAAGCCUCGCCUGUUUACCAAAAACAUCGCCUCCUGCAACACAACCAAGUAUAGGAGGUCCAGCCUGCCCAGUGACUACAAGUUCAACGGCCGCGGUAUUUUGACCGUGCAAAGGUAGCGCAAUCACUUGUCUCUUAAAUGGAGACCUGUAUGAAUGGCUAAACGAGGGCUUAACUGUCUCCCCCCUCCAGUCAGUGAAAUUGAUCU